GUGAAUCAUCAAAUUUUUGAACGCAAAUUGCACUCUCUUCGGAGAGGAUGCCUGUUUGAGUGUCAGUAUUAAUAAAAAUCGGUGUGUUGCGUCUGGGUGGCGUUUCGGAAGUUUGGGUCAUCUUAAUAACCUGUAGGGUUUAAGAUUCUUAAAAUUGACUUUUUUUGCGUAUUUUAGAUGUACAUAAAUUCUUUUUUUGAGUCGUCUGUCUUAAUGCUCAGAAUCCUAUUAGAUGC
rnacentral:misc_RNA from 1 species